GAAAAAAUACUUUUAGCACCUUUAUUCUGCAUGACAAAUUACUGCAGAAUAGUGGCAGUCACUGAACAGAAGUUGACUUUUGUGGAAACGUCACUGAAGCAGUGAGAAGUUGUCUGCACAGAUCACUGCCAUUGUAUCCAGUCCCCAUAAUUGUGCCUAGUAUGGUAUUGGGGCUUGAUGAUUAUUUAUUGGACUAAUGACUAAAGGUGCUGCACAACCUUUUGAAGAAAGAGCACACACGACCUCACCUAUCUCAGUAUGCCUCUUCAAGGUCUAUAUCAAGAGGACCAUAAAAAUGCAAAAUGUAACAGCGUUUCUAAAGCAAUUAUCUCGGAACAAAGAAAAGUCAUUAUGAAAACACAGAUACUGUGCUUUGGGGGAAGAAUGCCAAGUCCUUGGUUCAGAGGGAGAGA